UACGUAGGGGGCAAGCGUUGUCCGGAUUUAUUGGGCGUAAAGAGCGUGUAGGCGGCUAGGUAGGUCCGUUGUGAAAACUCGAGGCUUAACCUCGAGCUGUCGAUGGAAACCAUCUGGCUAGAGUCCGGAAGAGGAGAGUGGAAUUCCUGGUGUAGCGGUGAAAUGCGCAGAUAUCAGGAAGAACACCCGUGGCGAAGGCGGCUCUCUGGUACGUGACUGACGCUGAGACGCGAAAGCGUGGGGAGCGAACAGG
rnacentral:rRNA from 1 species